AAGUGGGGAUGACGUCAAGUCAUCACGGCCCUUACGGCCUGGGCUACACACGUGCUACAAUGGUCGGUACAAAGGGUUGCCAAGCCGCGAGGUGGAGCUAAUCCCAUAAAACCGAUCGUAGUCCGGAUCGCAGUCUGCAACUCGACUGCGUGAAGUCGGAAUCGCUAGUAAUCGUGAAUCAGAAUGUCACGGUGAAUACGUUCCCGGGCCUU
rnacentral:rRNA from 1 species